GAACCCCGGCGAGGGGAGUGAAAAAGAACCUGAAACCGUGUACGUACAAGCAGUGGGAGCACGCUUAGGCGUGUGACUGCGUACCUUUUGUAUAAUGGGUCAGCGACUUAUAUUCUGUAGCAAGGUUAACCGAAUAGGGGAGCCGAAGGGAAACCGAGUCUUAACUGGGCGUUAAGUUGCAGGGUAUAGACCCGAAACCCGGUGAUCUAGCCAUGGGCAGGUUGAAGGUUGGGUAACACUAACUGGAGGACCGAACCGACUAAUGUUGAAAAAUUAGCGGAUGACUUGUGGCUGGGGGUGAAAGGCCAAUCAAACCGGGAGAUAGCUGGUUCUCCCCGAAAGCUAUUUAGGUAGCGCCUCGUGAAUUCAUCUCCGGGGGUAGAGCACUGUUUCGGCAAGGGGGUCAUCCCGACUUACCAACCCGAUGCAAACUGCGAAUACCGGAGAAUGUUAUCACGGGAGACACACGGCGGGUGCUAA
rnacentral:rRNA from 1 species